GACGAACGCUGGCGGCGUGCUUAACACAUGCAAGUCGAACGGGCCUUGUCCCCUUUUUUUUUGGGGGUGGGGUUAGUGGCGAACUGGUGAGUAACACGUGAGUAACCUGCCCCUCACUUCUGGAUAACCGCUUGAAAGGGUGGCUAAUACGGGGUGUUCUGGCCUGCUCGCAUGGGUGGGUUUGGAAAGAUUCGACCGGUUUUGGUUGUUUUGGUGGGGGAUGGGCUCGCGGCCUAUCAGCUUGUUGGUGGGGUGAUGGCCUGCCAAGGCUUUGGCGGGUAGCCGGCCUGAGAGGGUGGGCGGUCACACUGGGACUGAGACACGGCCCAGACUCCUACGGGAGGCAGCAGUGGGGAAUAUUGCACAAUGGGCGAAAGCCUGAUGCAGCGACGCCGCGUGAGGGAUGGAGGCCUUCGGGUUGUGAACCUCUUUCGCCAGUGAAGAAGGUCCUGCUCUUUGUGGUGGGGUUGACGGUAGCUGGGUUAAUGAAGCGCCGGCUAACUACGUG
rnacentral:rRNA from 1 species